UACGUAGGUGGCAAGCGUUUGUCCGGAUUUACUGGGCGUAAAGAGCGCGCAGGCGGUCGUUCAAGUCGCGUGUGAAAGCCCCCCGGCUCAACUGGGGAGGGUCACGCGAUACUGAUCGACUCGAAGGCAGGAGAGGGAAGUGGAAUUCCCGGUGUAGUGGUGAAAUGCGUAGAUAUCGGGGAGGAACACCAGUGGCGAAGGCGACUUCCUGGCCUAUUCUUGACGCUGAGGCGCGAAAGCUAGGGGAGCAAACAGGG
rnacentral:rRNA from 1 species